rnacentral:misc_RNA from 1 species
GAUGAAGAACGUAGCGAAAUGCGAUACGUAGUGUGAAUUGCAGAAUUCAGUGAAUCAUCGAAUCUUUGAAUGCACAUUGCACCUCUCGGUAUUCCGGGAGGUAUGCCUGUUCGAGCGUCAUUUGUACCCUCAAGCUCUGCUUGGUGUUGGGUGUUUGUUCCGCCUCUGUGUGUGAACUCGCCUCAAAACAAUUGGCAGCCGGCGUACUUGUUUCGGAGCGCAGCACAUUUUGCGAUCCAGAUCAACGUACAGCGGCAUCCAAGAAGCCUUAUUUAACGCUCUUGACCUCGGAUCAGGUAGGGAUACCCGCUGAACUUAAGCAUAUCAAUAAGCGGAGGA